CUACGGGUUGCUGCAGUAGGGAAUAUUGCGCAAUGGGCGAAAGCCUGACGCAGCGACGCCGCGUGAGUGAUGAAGGUCCUCUGGAUUGUAAAGCUCUGUAAGGAGGGAAGAACCGCCUGGUGUAACGGCCAGGUCUGACGGUACCUCCAAAGUAAGCACCGGCUAAAUAAGUGCCAGCAGCCGCGGUAAUACUUAUGGUGCGAGCGUUGUCCUGAAUGACUGGGCGUAAAGGGUGCGUAGGCGGACUUUCAAGUCAGGCGUGAAAUCCCCGGGCUUAACCUGGGAACUGCGCUUGAAACUGGAAGUCUAGAGUAUGUGAGGGGUUAGCGGAAUUCCCGGAGUAGCGGUGAAAUGCGUAGAGAUCGGGAAGAACACCGGUGGCGAAGGCGGCUAACUGGCACAUGACUGACGCUGAGGCACGAAAGCGUGGGGAGCGAACGGGAUUAGAUACCCUUGUAGUC
rnacentral:rRNA from 1 species